rnacentral:lncRNA from 1 species
UCUGUCUCUUUAAAAAAACUUUUUUUUCUUUUUUUUUUUAGAGACAGGGUCUCACUAUGUUGGCCAGGUUGAUCUCAGACUCUUUCCCUCAAGCCAUCCUCCCACCUUGGCCUCCCCAAGUGUUGGGAUUACAGGCGUGAGCCACUGCGCCCAGUCUCUUUAUCUUUCCAUCUUUCUCUCCUUGUCUAAGCCGUUCUCUCUCCUUUUGUCUCUGUCUCUUCCUCUCUCUCUGUCUCUCAGAGCGUGGAGCUGUCCCUUGCUGGGGCCUUUAAUUAGCACAAAACUUCCACCCUCCACCUUGGCUGUUUUCCUUCUCUGCAUGCUCCUGGGACCUUGGGCUCUCCAUCUUUCCAUGUCCGUAGCCCCAGAGAGCCAGGAAGGGGAAGCGGCGUCAAGUGCCUGGAAAAACAGCCCCACGACUUGAGUUCCUCCCUAAGACUCAGGAGUUCCAGCCCCAUGUCCAUCCUAUUUCAAAAUCCAGGCACUAGAUAAACCACAUAGAAGCCAGGAGUGUAGGCCCCCAGAUCCCUCCCCUCUCAGACCCUGGGGUCUCAGUCCCUUCUCUCCAAGGACUCGGGAAUUUGGGCCUCUGAUCCUCCUGGCCACACUACCCACCCCCGCACCCCCCCAUACACACACACACACACACACACACACACACAUACACACAGGACUUAGGACAGAUGUUCACCGUCUGAUUUCCAAAUCCUCCUGGGCCUGUGUGGGGGUGGGGAGAGAUUGGCAGAUAAAUCCACCGAC